AGCAGUGAUGCUAACCCAGCAGCUAACUACAGCUGGUACAAGGACAAAACUCUGGUCAGUGAAGAACCACAGCUUGUCUUCAGCUCCAUCCAGUCCUCUGACUCUGGAGAGUAUCACUGUACAGCUGAGAACGUUCUGGGCACAAGAUCAUCUGAAAACAUUCAUAUCAACGUCAAAUACACAGAUAAAACAGCAGCUGUAGGAACGAUCACUGCUGUUGUCCUGGCUGUCUCAGUCCUCGCUGUCUCAGUCCUCGCUGUCUUCCUGUGGAUCAGGUGAUCAGUUCUGUGGCUGUGAUCACGUUCACUAAUGCACCACUCCACCAUCAAAUGCUUCCAUUCACUCUGUAUAUUUCUUUAUUCUCGUAUCCAGAAGAAGUAAGUGCUUCACUCAACAGUCUGACGGUGGAGAGAGACCUGGCAACACAGCACAGCUGAACAUGGUUCCAGUGUUGGACAUCCCGUCCUCUGCAGCAGAACCACAGGAUGACGUCCACUACAGCAGCAUCUGCUUCCGGAGGGAGACAGAUGUUGUUCAUUCCAACAGAAGGAGAGAUCAGAGUCAAACAGAGGAGGAAGAGGAGGACACUGUGUACACAACUGUGAGAUUUAACUCUUCUAGUCGUUGCACAAGAACAAGACGCCAAGAAAAUGUGGAGGAUCCAUUUCUACUGUACAGCAUCGUCAAGAAAAACUAAAGCUAAAAAAUGUUCAUUGGAAUUCCAACAUUAGAUCAUGUUCUGAGACUGAUCUGAACAACACUCUGACCCAACAAUAGAACCUGCUGUCCGUCUGAGGCCCAACAGAAGCCAAAUGGAUUUUCUAUGUCAUUCAUCCUUCAUGUUGCUUUCAAUAAUUAUUUUACUUUAACCACUUCUUUUUUGCUUUUCAGUAUUAAUUGUAAAUUAAAUUCAUGUGAUUGACAUUGAGUUGCAUCAGUUACACAGUAGUGAGUCCAAGGGAAGACAGCAACCCUGACCCUAACUUCAUGUAUAAUGAUAGAAGAGAUCAUACAAGUUGUGGGGAAGGAACAGAAAUGUAAUCAAACAAAAUAAAUCUUGAAGCA